rnacentral:rRNA from 1 species
GAUGAAAGCUGGCGGCGCGCCUAAUACAUGCGCGUCGAGUGAACAGUCGAAGAGAUUGCUCCUCUCUAGCAAGCGGCGGCAGGGCGAGUAACAAGAGGCUUACCCACCUAUACAACUGGGACUACUUCGACCAACCGGCGCUAUUACUGGAUCAUAUUUCCAACCGCAUGGUCCUAUAGCGAUAGCCGGUUCUCAUGUCACUUAUACACGGACCAGCGCCGCAUUAGAUAGUUGGUAAGGUAACGGCUUACUAACGCAUCGACGCGUAGCCGACCGGAGAGGGUGAUCAGCCACACUGGAACUGAGACACAGUCCAGACUCCUACUGGAGGCGGCAGUAGAGAAUCUUCCACUAGAGCCGGAAGCCUGACGGAGCAACGCCGCAUGAGUGAUGAAGGUCUUCGGAUCGUAAAACGCUGUUAUGAGGGAAGAACAAAUGUUUAAGUAGCUAUGCACGACUUUACGGUACCUAAUCAGAAAGCCACGCCUAACUACGUG